CACGUCCAACCGUGGAAAAUUAUUUGUGAUACAAACAAAAAAUAUCGUUAGUAAAAAAUGUUUUUGUACUUUAUUAGCUUUUUGAUUAUUGUGUACGCGUUGUUUGAUGUUAAUUAUUUAUUGCGCACAUAUUUUACUGUCAUAAGUGGCUAUUUGUUCGAAAGAAAUUAUUCACUUAUCGAUGUCACUGUUAUUUAUGGUAUGUGUACAUUUCAAGACUGCGAUAUAUGGUUCCGGCACAUACGAGAAGCGCGGUUGCUUCGCGAAAUAGACAUAGCUCGAUACCACUUCUACCAACGCACGGGCAUUUACAGACGAAGUCGGCUGCUAAGCAUUCGCUCGCUACAGGGCUGCACUUUGACCGUCUGUCACGAACCUAUUGGACUCUUUGGACUAUACAAGAUCAAUACAAAGCUUGUGUAUUGGGACGAUUGUUCCUUGUUUUUUGAACAUGAGAUAAUAACACUGAGCGACAAUCGAACAAGAUACUUAAUAAUAUCUCGCCAGCACGCACUGGGUGCCCACGGGGAAUCCAUAGAAGCCUUGCUUGAAGGUCUGCCGGGAUUGGGAACAAGACCUAAAUGUCCUGAAAAUAUUAAGGAAUGGCUGUUGAGUAUGCAAAUAACGAGCUCAAAAAUAAGAUCUUCGACAUAACAUUUGUUUGUGGCAGAUUUGGUAUUAAUAAAUUAUUGUA